rnacentral:rRNA from 1 species
UACGGAGGGUGCAAGCGUUUAAUCGGAAUUACUGGGCGUAAAGCGCACGCAGGUGGCUGAGUCAGUCGAUUGUGAAAGCCCUGGGCUUAACCUGGGAAUUGCAGUCGAUACUACUCAGCUAGAGUAUGGGAGAGGGUAGUGGAAUUCCUGGUGUAGAGGUGAAAUUCGUAGAUAUUGGGAAGAACACCAGUGGCGAAGGCGGCUAACUGGUCCAGAUCUGACGCUGAGUGCGAAAGCGUGGGAGCAACAGG